CCUACGGGAGGCAGCAGUGAGGAAUAUUGGUCAAUGGACGAGAGUCUGAACCAGCCAAGUAGCGUGAAGGAUGACUGCCCUAUGGGUUGUAAACUUCUUUUAUAUGGGAAUAAAAUGUUCCACGUGUGGGAUUUUGUAUGUACCAUAUGAAUAAGGAUCGGCUAACUCCGUGCCAGCAGCCGCGGUAAUACGGAGGAUCCGAGCGUUAUCCGGAUUUAUUGGGUUUAAAGGGAGCGUAGGUGGAUUGUUAAGUCAGUUGUGAAAGUUUGCGGCUCAACCGUAAAAUUGCAGUUGAAACUGGCAGUCUUGAGUACAGUAUAGGUGGGCGGAAUUCGUGGUGUAGCGGUGGAAUGCUUAAAUAUCACGAAGAACUCCGAUUGCGAAGGCAGCUCACUGGACUGCAACUGACACUGAGGCUCGAAAGUGUGGGUAUCAAACAGGAUUAGAUACCCGUGUAGUC
rnacentral:rRNA from 1 species